AGGACUAACGCUGGCGGCGUGCCUAACACAUGCAAGUCGAACGAGAGUAGCAAUACUCUAGUGGCAGACGGGUGAGUAACACGUGGUCAACCUACCUUUAAGUGGGGGAUAACUAGCCGAAAGGUUAGCUAAUACCGCAUACGAUCUUCGCGUGGCAUCACAUGAAGAUGAAAGGAGCAAUCCGCUGAAAGACGGGACCGCGUCCCAUUAGCCAGUUGGUGGGGUAACGCCUACCAAAGCAACGAUGGGUAGCUGGCUUGAGAGAGCGACCAGCCACACUGGGACUGAGACACGGCCCAGACUCCUACGGGAGGCAGCAGUGAGGAAUUUUCCGCAAUGGGCGAAAGCCUGACGGAGCGACGCCGCGUGUGGGAUGAAGGCCUUCGGGUCGUAACCACUGUCGAAGGGGAAGAGUAUUGACGGUACCCUUGGAGGAAGCCCGGCUAACUACGUGCCAGCAGCCGC
rnacentral:rRNA from 1 species